rnacentral:lncRNA from 1 species
UCCAAAUUGCUAACUUAAGUAUCGGAGGAUCCCGUCGAAAUCAACUCUAGUCAGGGAUUUUUUUGCAAGUUCUGCCAUCAUCGUCCUGUCGUCGCCAUCCACUCCAAUCGCACCGACCUCCGAGUCAGAAAUUCGCAACAACAAUUAGUAUAAAAUUAUAUAUUUACAAGGAUAUCAUAGGGUGGUGAGCGGUCUCAUGCAUAUUAGUACCAAUUGGAUUGCAAUUGAAUCAUGUAAAU